rnacentral:lncRNA from 1 species
UCGAAAUGCAGGUGCUAUAUGAGCCACCUGGUGUUGGCUAACGGUAGGACGAGCAAUCUUCCUCUUCACAGAGGGUCUUCUCUUGAUAUGGGAUGACACAACAUGUGCCUCUCCCUCCUUCUUCUUCGUAAAUCUCGCAUACCUCUUUGUUGAAGAGCCUUCAUCCUUGGACAAACGUCCUUCACGGACUCCUUCCUCUAGUCUCAUUCCCAUAUUCACCAUCUCGGUGAAG